GAUGAACGCUGGCGGCGUGCAUAACACAUUCAAGUCGAACGGACGUAUUUAGAAGCUUGCUUCCGGAUACGUUAGUGGCGGACGGGUGAGUAACGCGUGAGCAACCUGCCUUUGUGUGUGGAAUAACGUUUGGAAACGAACGCUAAUACCGCAUAAUGCAAGGACAUCGCAUGGUACAGUGUGAAAAACUCCGGUGGUAUGAGAUGGACCCGCGUCUGAUUAGAUAGUUGGUGGGUAACGGCCUACCAAGUCGACGAUCAGUAGCCGACCUGAGAGGGUGAUCGGCCACAUUGGGACUGAGACACGGCCCAAAACUCCUACGGGAGGCAGCAGUGGGAAUAUUGGGCAAUGGGGGAAACCCUGACCCAGCAACGCCGCGUGGAGGAAGAAGGUUUUCGGAUCGUAAACUCCUAGUCCUCAGGGAAGAGCAGAAGACGGUACCUGAGGAGGAAGCCCGGCUAACUACGUG
rnacentral:rRNA from 1 species